rnacentral:tRNA from 1 species
GGGAUUGUGGCUCAGCGGUAGAGCACUCGCCUAGCAUGCGUGAGGCCCUGGGCUCGAUCCUCAACACCA